rnacentral:tRNA from 1 species
GACCUUUUUGGUUCAGAGACUUUUUUUUUUGAAAAAAAAUCCCCGUUUCGUCCAUGAAAGUUCC